rnacentral:rRNA from 1 species
AAAUUGAAGAGUUUGAUCAUGGCUCAGAUUGAACGCUGGCGGCAGGCCUAACACAUGCAAGUCGAGCGGAAACGAGUCAUC